ACAAUGAAGAGUUUGAUCCUGGCUCAGGAUGAACGCUAGCUACAGGCUUAACACAUGCAAGUCGAGGGGCAGCAUGGUCUUAGCUUGCUAAGGCCGAUGGCGACCGGCGCACGGGUGAGUAACACGUAUCCAACCUGCCGUCUACUCUUGGACAGCCUUCUGAAAGGAAGAUUAAUACAAGAUGGCAUCAUGAGUCCGCAUGUUCACAUGAUUAAAGGUAUUCCGGUAGACGAUGGGGAUGCGUUCCAUUAGAUAGUAGGCGGGGUAACGGCCCACCUAGUCUUCGAUGGAUAGGGGUUCUGAGAGGAAGGUCCCCCACAUUGGAACUGAGACACGGUCCAAACUCCUACGGGAGGCAGCAGUGAGGAAUAUUGGUCAAUGGGCGAGAGCCUGAACCAGCCAAGUAGCGUGAAGGAUGACUGCCCUAUGGGUUGUAAACUUCUUUUAUAAAGGAAUAAAGUCGGGUAUGCAUACCCGUUUGCAUGUACUUUAUGAAUAAGGAUCGGCUAACUCCGUGCCAGCAGCCGCGGUAAUACGGAGGAUCCGAGCGUUAUCCGGAUUUAUUGGGUUUAAAGGGAGCGUAGAUGGAUGUUUAAGUCAGUUGUGAAAGUUUGCGGCUCAACCGUAAAAUUGCAGUUGAUACUGGAUAUCUUGAGUGCAGUUGAGGCAGGCGGAAUUCGUGGUGUAGCGGUGAAAUGCUUAGAUAUCACGAAGAACUCCGAUUGCGAAGGCAGCCUGCUAAGCUGCAACUGACAUUGAGGCUCGAAAGUGUGGGUAUCAAACAGGAUUAGAUACCCUGGUAGUCCACACGGUAAACGAUGAAUACUCGCUGUUUGCGAUAUACGGCAAGCGGCCAAGCGAAAGCGUUAAGUAUUCCACCUGGGGAGUACGCCGGCAACGGUGAAACUCAAAGGAAUUGACGGGGGCCCGCACAAGCGGAGGAACAUGUGGUUUAAUUCGAUGAUACGCGAGGAACCUUACCCGGGCUUAAAUUGCAGAUGAAUUACGGUGAAAGCCGUAAGCCGCAAGGCAUCUGUGAAGGUGCUGCAUGGUUGUCGUCAGCUCGUGCCGUGAGGUGUCGGCUUAAGUGCCAUAACGAGCGCAACCCUUGUUGUCAGUUACUAACAGGUUCCGCUGAGGACUCUGACAAGACUGCCAUCGUAAGAUGUGAGGAAGGUGGGGAUGACGUCAAAUCAGCACGGCCCUUACGUCCGGGGCUACACACGUGUUACAAUGGGGGGUACAGAGGGCCGCUACCACGCGAGUGGAUGCCAAUCCCAAAAACCUCUCUCAGUUCGGACUGGAGUCUGCAACCCGACUCCACGAAGCUGGAUUCGCUAGUAAUCGCGCAUCAGCCACGGCGCGGUGAAUACGUUCCCGGGCCUUGUACACACCGCCCGUCAAGCCAUGGGAGCCGGGGGUACCUGAAGUGCGUAACCGCGAGGAGCGCCCUAGGGUAAAACUGGUGACUGGGGCUAAGUCGUAACAAGGUAGCCGUACCGGAAGGUGCGGCUGGAACACCUCCUUU
rnacentral:rRNA from 1 species